rnacentral:rRNA from 1 species
ACGACCGUACCGCAAACCGACACUGGUGCGCGAGAUGAGUAUUCUAAGGCGCUUGAGAGAACUCAGGAGAAGGAACUCGGCAAAUUGACACCGUAACUUCGGAAGAAGGUGUGCCUUUAGUAGGUGAAGGGAUUUACUCCUGGAGCCCAAUGAGGUUGCAAAAAAUCGGUGGCUGCGACUGUUUAUUAAAAACACAGCACUCUGCAAACACGAAAGUGGACGUAUAGGGUGUGACGCCUGCCCGGUGCUGGAAGAUUAAAUGAUGGGGUGCAAGCUCUUGAUUGAAGUCCCAGUAAACGGCGGCCGUAACGAUAACGGUCCUAAGGUAGCGAAAUUCCUUGUCGGGUAAGUUCCGACCUGCACGAAUGGCGUAACGAUGGCCACACUGUCUCCUCCUGAGACUCAGCGAAGUUGAAAUGUUUGUGAUGAUGCAAUCUCCCCGCGGAAAGACGGAAAGACCCCAUGAACCUUUACUGUAGCUUUGUAUUGGACUUUGAACAGAUCUGUGUAGGAUAGGUGGGAGGCUUUGAAGCAGGGUCGCUAGAUCUUGUGGAGCCAACGUUGAAAUACCACCCUGGUGUGUUUGAGGUUCUAACCUAGGCCCGUAAUCCGAGUUGGGGACAGUGCAUGGUAGGCAGUUUGACUGGGGCGGUCUCCUCCCAAAGUGUAACGGAGGAGUUCGAAGGUACGCUAGUUACGGUCGGACAUCGUGACGAUAGUGCAAUGGCAUAAGCGUGCUUAACUGCGAGACUGACAAGUCGAGCAGAUGCGAAAGCAGGACAUAGUGAUCCGGUGGUUCUGUAUGGAAGGGCCAUCGCUCAACGGAUAAAAGGUACUCUGGGGAUAACAGGCUGAUACCGCCCAAGAGUUCAUAUCGACGGCGGUGUUUGGCACCUCGAUGUCGGCUCAUCUCAUCCUGGGGCUGUAGCCGGUCCCAAGGGUAUGGCUGUUCGCCAUUUAAAGAGGUACGUGAGCUGGGUUUAAAACGUCGUGAGACAGUUUGGUCCCUAUCUUCCGUGGGCGCUGCAGAUUUGAGGAAGCCUGCUCCUAGUACGAGAGGACCGGAGUGGACGCACCUCUGGUGUAUCGGUUGUCACGCCAGUGGCAUUGCCGAGUAGCUAUGUGCGGAAGAGAUAACCGCUGAAAGCAUCUAAGCGGGAAACUCGUUUCAAGAUGAGAUCUGCCGGGGCCUUGAGCCCCCUGAAGAGUCGUUCAAGACCAGGACGUUGAUAGGUCGGGUGUGGAAGCGCAGUAAUGCGUUAAGCUAACCGAUACUAAUUGCUCGUGCGGCUUGACC